GUUUGACCUCGGAUCAGGUAGGGUUACCCGCUGAACUUAAGCAUAUCAAUAAGCGGAGGAAAAGAAACCAACAGGGAUUGCCCCAGUAACGGCGAGUGAAGCGGCAACAGCUCAAAUUUGAAAUCUGGUCCCCUUUGGGGGCCCGAGUUGUAAUUUGAAGAGGAUGCUUUUGGCGAGGCGCCGUCCGAGUUCCCUGGAACGGGAC
rnacentral:rRNA from 1 species